rnacentral:misc_RNA from 1 species
GUGGUUGUUGAUAGGGUAUGACUAUACAUAAAAUUAAGGAGGUCCAUUAAGGCUGCUUCUUCAGAGGCAUGUAUCCGUAGAGUUACAUGUCGCUGCUCUGACUCUCUCAUCCCAUUUGAAAACAACUUGUAAAAAAAGGGGCUUUUAGCAGCUAAUAUUGGAGAACUAAUAUGCAGAGUCUUAACUCUAAGAACGGUUGAACAGUCCAUGUUCCAGGAUGAGUCGUUACCAUUAUCAACAUCAUCACCAAGUUCAUUCAAAUUCACAUCAGCAUCUGUAGGAGGUUCCUCGAUCAUUGCCAUUGGUUCUUCAUCUUGAUUUUCAUAGGCAACAGCAUCCUCUGUGUCCGGCAUGUUACAGUUUAUUACCUGCUCCUCACUUUGCCCAACAACCUCCGCAGCGUUUUCUUUCUUGAUGUCCUCCCUUCGCCUCUUGCGAUUACGGACCCAGUCAGCGAUGCUAGUGCAAGGGUCGCCGUCCGACUUCGUCUCUGGUAAAUCGGGGAUAAUCUCGAUCCUGAGAACCCGAUCGGAGAAGUUACUGUCGUUGAAGGCGAAGGCGAAAUCCGGGUCGGACCCAGGUGCAUCAGGCCCACCAGGAGAGUAGUCCGAGUCCAUGAUCGUUCGAGGAUCGAAGAGGUCCGCGCUCGGUACUCUCAUGCCCAAAAAUCCCCAAGCUUUAAGUGAAAUUUAAAAUACAGUAACGAAUUUUCUUGUUACCUAAAAACCCUAGAAACCAGCGAAAUUUUGAAGGAGAGACGGAGAAAAAAAAGAG